rnacentral:sRNA from 1 species
GGUUUGCGUGAGUGAUGGCAGUGGAGCUCUUUUUUGAGCCGAUUUUUUUCGGCUUAAAAAAAGCGGGAACAUACAGCACGACCCAAA